rnacentral:rRNA from 1 species
UACGAGGGGAGCAAGCGUUGUUCGGAUUUACUGGGCGUAAAGGGCGCGUAGGCGGUCGUGACAAGUCACUUGUGAAAUCUCCGGGCUUAACUCGGAACGGUCAAGUGAUACUGUCGGACUAGAGUACAGAAGGGGCAACUGGAAUUCUCGGUGUAGCGGUGAAAAUGCGUAGAUAUCGAGAGGAACACCUGCGGCGAAGGCGGGUUGCUGGG